rnacentral:lncRNA from 1 species
UUCAACUUGCUGCGGAAUUGGAGGCGGCUGUGAAUGACUUGGCUGGUGUGAAGGGGGCACUUGCUGACCGAGAGAAGUCUUUGGAGGAGUCCCGGGAGACCAACAAGGCAUUGGUGGCCGAAAUUGAGAAAAUGGGCAAGCAAAGAAGUGAACUGAUGGGUCAAAUGAAGGUGAUGAACCGUUGAUGCAUUUCGCAGGAGAAGUAUGUCAACGACUGGGCGAGGAAGAUGAUUGCACUGCUCGGUGGUAAGCUUCUUGCCGAGUGCUUCUUGACUUUGUAAUUCAUUCUGCGCUUACUUUUUGCUCUUCUUUUCUUUGCAGAUUUUUGUCUGGACGCUGAGGCUGAAGCAGCCGACAUUGAACGGU